rnacentral:lncRNA from 1 species
GGGACCGAUAGAAUAAGUACUGGGCUUACAAAAGAAUAAGUUCCAGGGUCGAGUUGCUCGAUUAAAGGCGGUGCUCCAGCAUGGCCGCAGUCAAAUGAUUGAAACAAGUAAAAGAGUAUACCUGUGACUAUCAAACUUUUAUGUCAUCGAAAAUAUAAAGAAAUAUCUUGUCUAGCCUCCUCAUGGGACUUCUAAGGGUUGCUGUUUAACUUUGGUUUGAUGGCUUUAAAAGGAUGUAGAAUGAAGAUGACUGAGUAGUUAAGGUAUUAGAUUACCUCUCCAUUAAUAAUAAUAUUAAUAAUAAUAAUAGUAAUAAGUUUGAAUCUGCUUCAAGUGUUUUGAGCCGAGUACUUAAUUCUGCAUUGCUUCAUAUUGUCCAGCUGUUAGGAAUGUUAUUUGCAAUAAGCUAGCAUCAAACUAGGGAGAAAUUUAUCUCAUCAGCUCCACACAAAUGUUUCAAGUAUCAACUCUUAAAAGCCUCCUUGGGGACUUAGAAGACAUUUACAUUAACCCUUUCAUUACUGUAUUUAUUUUGAGAUGCUCUGUGUUUCUUUCAAUUACUUUAGAUAUAACUAAGAAUUUAGUAAAAUAACUUUGUUAUCAUUCAGCUGGUGUUAGGAACAUAAAUUAUGACUAAGGUUUGGUGGAAGAUUUUAAUUCAAAACCUAUGAAAACAUGACAUUUGUAUUACAGAGCCAGAGCUGGUUUCAGCUGGGUUGGUAAUGAAAGGGUUAAGAAGAUAAGAGAUAACUCUUUGCUUAGGUGUCAGUAUAUCCCAGAAACAUUUCCUGAUGAUCUUGUAAUUGUUGCUUUCAUGGUUUUUGGUUGGAAGGAAUGGCUUGUAACCAUGGCCUUUGUGGGCUCUCCAAAACCAGUGAGAUUGAUGUGGGUGAUGUACAUCUUAAACAAGUGCAGAAAAAAAAAUGACAUAAAGAUGGAUCUCUUGAGGGUUGAUUUUCUGGAAAGAUUGAGAAUAAUGGUUGGUGUAGAGCCUGGAGUUGUGGGUGAACACUGUAUGGAGGAAGAGAGGAGGAAAGAUAAGUGAGUUUGAGUGGAUGUAGCACAAGAACAGCCAGCUCUGAGACAACUGAAAUAACUAGAAAAGGUAAAGUGAACAGAGAUUACAUCUGUGAAACAAUGAUUGGAGUAUGUUGGUGAGAUGAUGAGUAACUCCAUGCCAAUCAUUUGGGUAACCAUUUGGGGGAUUUGAUCAAGCUGUGUGUAUAUAUAGCAGCAGCACUGUUCCUGAUAAACAGUAUUCCAGUGUGGGUUUCACUUGAUGGUGAAAUGUUGAAUUAAAUAACUUUCUCCUAUAUACAAGCAAAGAGGGUUUGAACUUGAGACCUAUAGACUCAAAGCUUAGUGCUAUAUCCACUUAGCUGUUUUCUUUGUACUGUUCUACUAUUUCUAAAUACUGUAUCGGUAUCUACAACAUUGAUAUAAAUAUAUUUAUGACAUUAUUGACUAUAAAAUAGACUAACCAUGCCUCAUAUCACUAUUUUGGCACACUAUGACAAAUUGACCUCAGACCAAAGUUCAUGAUCCAGGUGUGCUUGAGUAUGACUGAUAUAAAUGGGGUAUAUUUCAGAGUGACUGCUCUAACCUAAGUAUACUGCAGUAUGGACAGUGUGACAUAAGAGCACUGAAUUUUGACUGGAACAAUCCAGGUGUACAACUGUGUGACUCCUGUGACCUCUGUGUAUUGCAGUGUAACUUGUAUGACUUACAUGUGCCACAGUGUGGCUUUUGUAACCUAUGUCUGCUUGUUAUGUGACAAGUUGAUAAGCUGCUGCAGUACAACUUAGAUAUUUUGCACUAUGACCUAAAUAUACUGCUUUGAGAUGUGGUUAUGAUUUAGGUAAAAUGAAAUUGGUAAUAAGCAGCACUACAUAAUUAUUCUGAUUUAAGGUAGGUAUAAUAUUGUCCAUUUAAGUGUUUUAACAAAUUUCCUCCCCAUAGGAAGAUCUCAUAUAUUGUUGCUAUCUUAUAACAACUCUACAUCUAGGCCCCAUUAUCAUUCUUUUAUCUAUUCAUUUUGACUAUCUGAAAAUGGUUCAAUAGUAAUUAAAAGACAGUAACUACGAUACAAUUAGUAAACUACAGUAACUAUCAGAUAGUAACUAAUAUAUUUCCAGUUCAUCUGCUGCAAAUCUUAUUUAAUGAAAAAGUUUUUCUCUCCCUUAUUUAUUAUGGCUCUUGUGUUUCAUUC